AUAAACGCUGGCGGCGCACAUAAGACAUGCAAGUCGAACGAACUUAACCAUUAGUUUACUAUUGGAGCGGUUAGUGGCGGACUGGUGAGUAACACGUAAGCAACCUGCCUAUCAGAGGGGAACAACAGUUAGAAAUGACUGCUAAUACCGCAUAUGCCUUGAGUAUCACAUGGUACAAAAGGGAAAGGAGCAAUCCGCUGAUAGAUGGGCUUGCGUCUGAUUAGAUAGUUGGUGAGGUAACGGCCCACCAAGUCGACGAUCAGUAGCCGGACUGAGAGGUUGAACGGCCACAUUGGGACUGAGAUACGGCCCAGACUCCUACGGGAGGCAGCAGUCGGGAAUAUUGCGCAAUGGAGGAAACUCUGACGCAGUGACGCCGCGUGCAGGAAGAAGGUUUUCGGAUUGUAAACUGCUUUAGACAGGGAAGAAACAAGACAGUACCUGUAGAAUAAGCUCCGGCUAACUACGUGCCAGCAGCCGCGGUAAUACGUAGGGAGCAAGCGUUAUCCGGAUUUAUUGGGUGUAAAGGGUGCGUAGACGGGAAAUUAAGUUAGUUGUGAAAUCCCUCGGCUUAACUGAGGAACUGCAACUAAAACUGGUUUUCUUGAGUGCUGGAGAGGAAAGUGGAAUUCCUAGUGUAGCGGUGAAAUGCGUAGAUAUUAGGAGGAACACCAGUGGCGAAGGCGACUUUCUGGACAGUAACUGACGUUGAGGCACGAAAGUGUGGGGAGCAAACAGGAUUAGAUACCCUGGUAGUCCACACCGUAAACGAUGGAUACUAGGUGUAGGGUGUGAUAAACAUUCUGUGCCGUCGCAAACGCAGUAAGUAUCCCACCUGGGGAGUACGGCCGCAAGGUUGAAACUCAAAGGAAUUGACGGGGGCCCGCACAAGCAGUGGAGUAUGUGGUUUAAUUCGACGCAACGCGAAGAACCUUACCAAGUCUUGACAUCCCUUGACGAUGCUGGAAACAGCAUUUCUCUUCGGAGCAAGGAGACAGGUGGUGCAUGGUUGUCGUCAGCUCGUGUCGUGAGAUGUUGGGUUAAGUCCCGCAACGAGCGCAACCCCUGUUCUUAGUUACCAGCGAGUUAAGUCGGGAACUCUAAGAAGACUGCCGGUGAUAAAUCGGAGGAAGGUGGGGACGACGUCAAAUCAUCAUGCCCUUUAUGUCCUGGGCUACACACGUACUACAAUGGCUGUAACAAAGGGAAGCUAAGCCGCGAGGUGGAGCAAAACCCAAAAAAGCAGUCUCAGUUCGGAUUGAAGGCUGAAAUUCGCCUUCAUGAAGCCGGAAUUGCUAGUAAUGGCAGGUCAGCAUACUGCCGUGAAUACGUUCCCGGGCCUUGUACACACCGCCCGUCACACCAUGAGAGUUGGGAAUACCCGAAGCCUGUGAGCUAACUUUUAGAGGCAGCAGUCGAAGGUAGAAUCAAUGAUUGGGGUG
rnacentral:rRNA from 1 species